UUAACAUGCAAGUCGAACGGCAGCACGGGGGCAACCCUGGUGGCGAGUGGCGAACGGGUGAGUAAUACAUCGGAACGUGUCCUGUAGUGGGGGAUAGCCCGGCGAAAGCCGGAUUAAUACCGCAUACGCUCUACGGAGGAAAGGGGGGGAUCUCAGGACCUCCCGCUACAGGGGCGGCCGAUGGCAGAUUAGCUAGUUGGUGGGGUAAAGGCCUACCAAGGCGACGAUCUGUAGCUGGUCUGAGAGGACGACCAGCCACACUGGGACUGAGACACGGCCCAGACUCCUACGGGAGGCAGCAGUGGGGAAUUUUGGACAAUGGGCGAAAGCCUGAUCCAGCAAUGCCGCGUGUGUGAAGAAGGCCUUCGGGUUGUAAAGCACUUUUGUCCGGAAAGAAAACCUCCGCCCUAAUAUGGUGGGGGGAUGACGGUACCGGAAGAAUAAGCACCGGCUAACUACGUGCCAGCAGCCGCGGUAAUACGUAGGGUGCAAGCGUUAAUCGGAAUUACUGGGCGUAAAGCGUGCGCAGGCGGUCCGCUAAGACAGAUGUGAAAUCCCCGGGCUUAACCUGGGAACUGCAUUUGUGACUGGCGGGCUAGAGUAUGGCAGAGGGGGGUAGAAUUCCACGUGUAGCAGUGAAAUGCGUAGAGAUGUGGAGGAAUACCGAUGGCGAAGGCAGCCCCCUGGGCCAAUACUGACGCUCAUGCACGAAAGCGUGGGGAGCAAACAGGAUUAGAUACCCUGGUAGUCCACGCCCUAAACGAUGUCAACUAGUUGUUGGGGAUUCAUUUCCUUAGUAACGUAGCUAACGCGUGAAGUUGACCGCCUGGGGAGUACGGUCGCAAGAUUAAACUCAAUGA
rnacentral:rRNA from 1 species